rnacentral:rRNA from 1 species
GUAAGGAAUAUUGGGCAAUGGGGGCAACCCUGACCCAGCGACGCCGCGUGAGGGAAGACGGCCUUCGGGUUGUAAACCUCUUUUGUACGGGAAGAAGGACGUGACGGUACCGUGCGAAUAAGUCCCGGCUAACUACGUGCCAGCAGCCGCGGUAAUACGUAGGGGACGAGCGUUGUCCGGAAUUACUGGGCGUAAAGGGCGCGCAGGCUGUAGAUCAAGUCAGCUGUGAAAUGUCUGGGCUUAACCCGGGCAUGCGGUUGAAACUGAUGUACUGGAGUGCUGUAGAGGCAAGUGGAAUUCCCAGUGUAGCGGUGAAAUGCGUAGAUAUUGGGAAGAACACCGGUGGCGAAGGCGACUUGCUGGGCAGCAACUGACGCUGAGGUUCGAAAGCGUGGGUAGCAAACAGGAUUAGAAACCCCAGUAGUCC